rnacentral:rRNA from 1 species
UUUUAUCGGAGAGUUUGAUCCUGGCUCAGGACGAACGCUGGCGGCGUGCUUAACACAUGCAAGUCGAACGAUGAAGCCCAGCUUGCUGGGUGGAUUAGUGGCGAACGGGUGAGUAACACGUGAGUAACCUGCCCU